rnacentral:lncRNA from 1 species
GGAAAAACACAAAUAAGCGCAGAGAGAGGUACCAGAAUGAAAUACUUACAUCGGUUCUUGUACCUAUGGCAAAAAGUGUUGCCAGACUUAUGACAUCAAAACAACUCAAUCCCGUAGAUUUCUGAUGCAUUUGGGGGGGGAGAAAGAACGAGUUAAAGACUUCUCUCAGAGCGUGCAGUGAAGCCUUUUGUCAGCAGUUGGCAUCAGUCCCAGGUAGUACAUGCCUCACGGUUCCCAUUUUCAGUAGUCAUUACAGACGUCUUUAGCUGUUCUGCACCUGCCUGUGUUUUUGUUUUGAUUUGAACCGUUUUCACGCUUUCAGAUAAGAUGGUAAAAUUGCCUGGUCGCAAUGAGAUGAAAGAAAAGAAAAGAAAGAAAACAACCUGACACUCAUGCCUCUCCAGAAGGAAACCCUCAGAGACGUCUGGACAGACGACAGGUCUCAAGAAAGUCAAGAUGUGUCCACUCCACAUAAGAUAAUGCUUUCUAUAAGCCAAAGAAGAAGGCAGAGUCAGCCAACCCAGCCACCAAUGGUGCCGACGCCAAGCCCAAAAAGAGCAAGAACAAGAAGAGCGAAGAACUGUCUGGAGAAGAGAGUCCUGCUGUUCAAAGUACGGACUGCUCUGCACAGUUUAAAUAACAGAAUCUUCAAAUGA